CUCUUUGAGACUGUCCUUCCUAGGCCACUGAAUUAUUUGAGAGACUCUAGCACAUAAGCAAGCAUCUAAAAAGUCAUAGGUGAGGACAGGUUUGUUGAGCAGUGAAAUGGUUCAUUACAAGCAGCAUCCCUCGCCACAACCUGAUGAUUUAACAUACUAUAACGACGCAAACACUGCUUAAAAGUAUACACAUUCUUCAGGUACAUUACUGUUGCAUAGUUAUGAGGUGCUCUGACGCACAUUCCCUGCCUAAUAUUCCGCGCCUUUAGCUGGCCUGCACGUACACUCAAGCACCACCACCCUUAUAAACGGCACCAGUGGCAGAGCGCAGGCCAGCACAAUCCCAGGCACCAUCGUUGCUACACCAGCGCUUGUCUCACUAACCCAGCUAGACCAUCACCACUGCCACACGAGCGCCUGUCGCACCAACUUAGGCUGAUCACCACUGCCACACCAGCGCCUGUCGCACCAAGCCAGUCAAACCAACACUCUUGAAGCACAGAAGCACCACAACUCAACGAUGAACUUCAAAAUCGUGCUGAUCGUGGUGCUGGUGGUGAUGGGGGCAAUGAUGGGAAGAGCGUUUCCCCGUCAAAGACAAUUUCCGGGCCAGAGACUGAGAGGGGCCACCAACUACGGCACCCACUCCUUUGGCCGCAACGGUUUCGACAGCAAACCUGUCUCCAGAUUUCACGAUAAUGAGCACUCCUUACAAAUUUAAAAGAAGCAUCCCUUCCACACAUCUUUCCCAAACAAUGGUCGUUUUGCCUGAAUGUUCCUCCUGCUCCUUACUCGCGGGGAUUGGUCCAGCCAUGUGUACUGUGGCCUAGACAUUGGAAGGUGUGGCACAGCACUCUUAAGUCAACCAUAUAUGUUAUGAAUGGUGCACUUGGCCUCGCAGUCCAGCUACACACAGGAGUGUCUAGGACUCUUACACUGUUUUUACA